AAAUUAUAUAUAUAUAUAUAUAUAUAUAUAUAUAUAUAUAUAUAUAUAUAUAUAUAUAUAUAUAUACUAAUAUUUUUCUUAUUUAAAGAUAAAUAAGAUAUUUUGAUAAAUGAUGGUAAACACACAGCUGAUUGUAACCAAUGACUUCCAUAGUAGAAAUUAAAAAAAAGUAUGGAAUUCAAUGGGUACUAUCAACUGUGUGCUUACCAUCAUUUAUCAAUAAAUCUUCUUUUGUGUUCAUCAAAAUAAAACAUCUGAUACAUGUAGGUUUAGAACAACAUGAGGGGGAGUAACUGAUGACAGAAUUUUUGGGUGAACUAUCCCUUGAAGUGUUUUGGGCAUUCCAGAAACUACCAGUGUAGUUGUAAAAUUAUGCUGCUAAUACAUUGGAACCAUUUUCUAUGUUUAUACUCCGUAUUGCAUAUUGGCAUCUGUAAUUUCAUGUUAAAACAUCUGGAUUUCAAUACAGUUAACGUUAAAAGGACUUCAGUGACAUAAACUGUUGGGUCCUUUAUUUUUAUAACCAACUCCAAAAGAAUGGACCUCUAAAAAUGGACCAACAACUGGUAAACCAUUUUUUUAUGUAUACAUUAUCAUUUUAACUUAAAAUUGGUGAAUGCAGUUUUCAGAUAAUCUAAUCAUUUAAAAUUACAGUGCUAUUGUUGUAAUACAAUUUUAUAAUCAGGCAUUGAAUAGUGUACUGUACCAAUUAAAGCCAUUGGAAUCACUAUGGGGUGUUAGGCUAUUAGUUAUAAUUAGGUAGAUUAUUGAUUAUUCUUUACUCAUUUGUUUAUGAUGCCAACACACUAAAUGCAAAACUUUGCAAACGCUUUGAAACAUCCAGUAGAUGGAGCCAUUUCAAUAACUUGAAUGCACUUUAAAAAUGGAUGUAAUAAAAACAACACAAUUAUGCAUGGUCCCAAACUAGACACAUCUGUGUUUUUAUUGAAACAACACAUUUUGUGUUAUUUUGAACACAGCCUGUGUUGUCACUUUUAUUUUUUUAAACACAAAAUUAACACGAAAUGACACACUGUGUUAAAUAGCAUAACACACACACACACACACACACACACACACACACACACAC